rnacentral:rRNA from 1 species
AUUGAACGCUGGCGGCAGGCCUAACACAUGCAAGUCGAACGAGUGGCGGACGGGUGAGUAAUGUCUGGGAAACUGCCCGAUGGAGGGGGAUAACUACUGGAAACGGUAGCUAAUACCGCAUACCAUCGGAUGUGCCCAGAUGGGAUUAGCUAGUAGGUGGGGUAACGGCUCACCUAGGCGACGAUCCAUAGCUGGUCUGAGAGGAUGACCAGCCACACGGUAACUGAGACACGGUCCAGACUCCUACGGGAGGCAGCAGUGGGGAAGAGGGCACAAUGGGCGCAAGCCUGAUGCAGCCAUGCCGCGUGUAUGAAGAAGGCCUUCGGGUUGUAAAGUACUUUCAGCGAGGAGGCGUUACUCGCAGAAGAAGCACCGGCUAACUCCGUGCCAGCAGCCGCGGUAAUUC